rnacentral:rRNA from 1 species
AUUGAACGCUGGCGGCAGGCCUAACACAUGCAAGUCGAGCGGAGCGGCCGACGGGUGAGUAAUGCCUAGGAAUCUGCCUGGUAGUGGGGGAUAACGUCCGGAAAUGGGAGCUAAUACCACAUACUAUCAGAUGAGGCUAUGUCGGGUUGGCAAGCUGGGGGGGUAACGGCUUACCAAGGCGACGAUCCGUAACUGGUCUGAGAGGAUGAUCAGUCAAACUGGAACUGAUACACGGUCCGGACUCCUACGGGAGGCAGCAGUGGGGAAUAUUGGACAAUGGGCGCAAGCCUGAUCCAGCCAUGCCGCGUGUGUGAAGAAGGUCUUCGGAUUGUAAAGCACUUUAAGUUGGGAGGCGUUACCAACAGAAUAAGCACCGGCUAACUUCGUGCCAGCAGCCGCGGUAAUAC